rnacentral:rRNA from 1 species
UACGUAGGGACCGAGCGUUGUCCGGAAUUAUUGGGCGUAAAGGGCUCGUAGGCGGUCCGUCACGUCGGGAGUGAAAACUCGGGGCUCAACCCCGAGCCUGCUUUCGAUACGGGCGGACUAGAGGUAGGUAGGGGAGAACGGAAUUCCUGGUGUAGCGGUGGAAUGCGCAGAUAUCAGGAGGAACACCGGUGGCGAAGGCGGUUCUCUGGGCCUUACCUGACGCUGAGGAGCGAAAGCGUGGGGAGCGAACAGG